GUCUGAAAAUGGCAAACCAGCUGAAACGUUGGGACAAAGCUUCGGGUCUAAGGGCGCAGAGGUACGUAUGAUUGCCGGGUUGCGGAC
rnacentral:ncRNA from 1 species